UGGGGAAUAUUGCACAAUGGGCGCAAGCCUGAUGCAGCCAUGCCGCGUGUAUGAAGAAGGCCUUCGGGUUGUAAAGUACUUUCAGCGGGGAGGAAGGGAGUAAAGUUACUACCUUUGCUCAUUGACGUUACCCGCAGAAGAAGCACCGGCUAACUCCGUGCCAGCAGCCGCGGUAAUACGGAGGGUGCAAGCGUUAAUCGGAAUUACUGGGCGUAAAGCGCACGCAGGCGGUUUGUUAAGUCAGAUGUGAAAUCCCCGGGCUCAACCUGGGAACUGCAUCUGAUACUGGCAAGCUUGAGUCUCGUAGAGGGGGGUAGAAUUCCAGGUGUAGCGGUGAAAUGCGUAGAGAUCAGGAGGAAUACCGGUGGCGAAGGCGGCCCCCUGGACGAAGACAGACGCUCAGGUGCGAAAGCGUGGGGAGCAAACAGG
rnacentral:rRNA from 1 species